AAAGCAAAUCGGUCUGCCGCUACCGAGGGAAAGAAAAGCAUCCGUGCUUUAAUCUCAUCGGCAGAGGAAAGUCCGGGCAGCGCAGAGCACCACAGCGGUUAACGGCCGUCAGGCAGAGCGAAGCGGAUGAGUAUAUGCACCUGCAUGGACACAUCUGGCCGCGAAUGUUUGGUCACUGCUACAGAGACGAGUGAAGUGAAACGAGCACACUGUGGGCUGCAAUUCCAUGUAUACCAACGUCCGAGCGUUGCUCGCGCAAGUCUUUGACACGUUGGAGGGUAGGAAGCGAGAGAAACGCGUGGUAACACGACGUUCGAGAUUAAUGGCAGACACCCUUCGGGGCACAGAACCCGGCUUAUAGAUUUGCCUUCUUU
rnacentral:RNase_P_RNA from 1 species